AUACGGAGGGUGCAAGCGUUACUCGGAAUCACUGGGCGUAAAGCGCGCGCAGGCGGGCUGAUAAGUUGGAUGUGAAAGCCUACGGCUCAACCGUAGAACUGCAUCCAAAACUAUUUGGCUAGAGUGUGGGAGAGGAAGAUGGAAUUAGUUGUGUAGGGGUAAAAUCCGUAGAGAUAACUAGGAAUACCAAAAGCGAAGGCAAUCUUCUGGAACAUUACUGACGCUGAGGCGCGAAAGCGUGGGGAGCAAACAGGAUUAGAAACCCCAGUAGUCC
rnacentral:rRNA from 1 species